GUCAACUCUGGCGUUAUGCCUCAUGGAUCUUGUACGACUGAGAGGAAACCAAUGGCUGGAGAAGAUGAUGAACUAUUUCAAGAAAUAUCUUCCAAAACUGAUGCUCGGUGACCAAGACCUCAUCAAUAUAUUUUUUCAUUUUGAAUCCAGAAAAGCUGUAUGAAUGUUCAUGUGAGUGGAACUACAGAGCUGACCAUUGUCAAUUUCCAACAACACGAUCUCGGUGUCCGCCAGCUCUGAAAGAUGGUGCUUACACUCUCCAUGGCAACAGCCAGCGAUUUCAUGGGCCGAAAUACCCCGCUCUAAGUGCCGUAUAUACAGCUUUUCAAUCUCAUCAACUUGGACUCGACACAAAGACAGCCCUACUGGAGAGCAUUAAAACACGUCUUAAGGGCGCAAGGAGCAGCUGUGGCAGCAUGCCUGAAGCAUUUUAUAAGAAAAUAGAAGAACAUAUCAAUUUAUCAUCUGCA